GGGCUGUUGGCGGAAUUGGUAUACGCGAUGACUUGCCUAUAGGUUUGUGUUGGAACUUAUAGGAAGUCAUUACAGUAAUGUGUGGGAGUUCGAGUCUCCUACAGCCCACCA
rnacentral:tRNA from 2 species